UACGUAGGGGGCUAGCGUUGUCCGGAAUCAUUGGGCGUAAAGCGCGUGUAGGCGGCCCGGUAAGUCCGCUGUGAAAGUCGGGGGCUCAACCCUCGAAAGCCGGUGGAUACUGUCGGGCUCGAGUGCGGAAGAGGCGAGUGGAAUUCCUGGUGUAGCGGUGAAAUGCGCAGAUAUCAGGAGGAACACCGAUUGCGAAGGCAGCUCGCUGGGACGUUACUGACGCUGAGACGCGAAAGCAUGGGGAGCGAACAGG
rnacentral:rRNA from 1 species